UACGGAGGAUCCGAGCGUUAUCCGGAUUUAUUGGGUUUAAAGGGUGCGCAGGCGGGGGAUUAAGUCGGCGGUGAAAUUUUGCAGCUCAACUGUAAAAGUGCCUUCGAAACUGGUUUCCUUGAGUGUAGAUGAAGUAGGCGGAAUUUGUGGUGUAGCGGUGAAAUGCUUAGAUAUCACGAGGAACUCCGAUUGCGCAGGCAGCUUACUAGACCACUACUGACGCUCAUGCACGAAGGCGUGGGGAUCAAACAGGAUUAGAUACCCGGGUAGU
rnacentral:rRNA from 1 species